AGAGUUUGAUCAUGGCUCAGAUUGAACGCUGGCGGCAGGCCUAACACAUGCAAGUCGAGCGGUAGCACAGAGAGCUUGCUCUCGGGUGACGAGCGGCGGACGGGUGAGUAAUGUCUGGGAAACUGCCUGAUGGAGGGGGAUAACUACUGGAAACGGUAGCUAAUACCGCAUAACGUCGCAAGACCAAAGUGGGGGACCUUCGGGCCUCAUGCCAUCAGAUGUGCCCAGAUGGGAUUAGCUAGUAGGUGGGGUAACGGCUCACCUAGGCGACGAUCCCUAGCUGGUCUGAGAGGAUGACCAGCCACACUGGAACUGAGACACGGUCCAGACUCCUACGGGAGGCAGCAGUGGGGAAUAUUGCACAAUGGGCGCAAGCCUGAUGCAGCCAUGCCGCGUGUGUGAAGAAGGCCUUCGGGUUGUAAAGCACUUUCAGCGGGGAGGAAGGCGGUGAGGUUAAUAACCUCACCGAUUGACGUUACCCGCAGAAGAAGCACCGGCUAACUCCGUGCCAGCAGCCGCGGUAAUACGGAGGGUGCAAGCGUUAAUCGGAAUUACUGGGCGUAAAGCGCACGCAGGCGGUCUGUCAAGUCGGAUGUGAAAUCCCCGGGCUCAACCUGGGAACUGCAUUCGAAACUGGCAGGCUAGAGUCUUGUAGAGGGGGGUAGAAUUCCAGGUGUAGCGGUGAAAUGCGUAGAGAUCUGGAGGAAUACCGGUGGCGAAGGCGGCCCCCUGGACAAAGACUGACGCUCAGGUGCGAAAGCGUGGGGAGCAAACAGGAUUAGAUACCCUGGUAGUCCACGCUGUAAACGAUGUCGAUUUGGAGGUUGUGCCCUUGAGGCGUGGCUUCCGGAGCUAACGCGUUAAAUCGACCGCCUGGGGAGUACGGCCGCAAGGUUAAAACUCAAAUGAAUUGACGGGGGCCCGCACAAGCGGUGGAGCAUGUGGUUUAAUUCGAUGCAACGCGAAGAACCUUACCUGGUCUUGACAUCCACAGAACUUUCCAGAGAUGGAUUGGUGCCUUCGGGAACUGUGAGACAGGUGCUGCAUGGCUGUCGUCAGCUCGUGUUGUGAAAUGUUGGGUUAAGUCCCGCAACGAGCGCAACCCUUAUCCUUUGUUGCCAGCGGUUAGGCCGGGAACUCAAAGGAGACUGCCAGUGAUAAACUGGAGGAAGGUGGGGAUGACGUCAAGUCAUCAUGGCCCUUACGACCAGGGCUACACACGUGCUACAAUGGCAUAUACAAAGAGAAGCGACCUCGCGAGAGCAAGCGGACCUCAUAAAGUAUGUCGUAGUCCGGAUUGGAGUCUGCAACUCGACUCCAUGAAGUCGGAAUCGCUAGUAAUCGUAGAUCAGAAUGCUACGGUGAAUACGUUCCCGGGCCUUGUACACACCGCCCGUCACACCAUGGGAGUGGGUUGCAAAAGAAGUAGGUAGCUUAACCUUCGGGAGGGCGCUUACCACUUUGUGAUUCAUGACUGGGGUGAAGUCGUAACAAGGUAACCGUAGGGGAACCUGCGGUUG
rnacentral:rRNA from 1 species